rnacentral:tmRNA from 1 species
AGACAAGACAUCGCCCGAUUGUCGUCGUCCCGAGACUAAUCGACAAGGCGGUGCAGGUAAAUCGGGAAUAGGAAUCCGAGAGCCUCGCGAGGGUUCCGAAAUUUUAGAGGCUAAGGUCGCGGUUGGCUGUCUUUUGCCUGCCACGGCACAAAAAACAACAAAAGACUAAGCAUGUAGAAAGCUUAUUAGUUCCACGUUUGGACGAGGGUUCAAGUCCCUCCAUCUCCACAA